rnacentral:rRNA from 1 species
UACGAACCGUGCAAACGUUAUUCGGAAUCACUGGGCUUAAAGCGUGCGUAGGCGGCUAAGAAAGUUGGGUGUGAAAUCCCUCGGCUCAACCGAGGAAUUGCGCUCAAAACUACUUAGCUUGAGGGAGUUAGAGGUGAGCGGAACUAAUGGUGGAGCGGUGAAAUGCGUUGAUAUCAUUAGGAACACCGGUGGCGAAAGCGGCUCACUGGGACUCUUCUGACGCUGAGGCACGAAAGCUAGGGUAGCGAACGGG